UAUAUCCAUGGCCUCCCCAAAAACUGGAUCAAAUCCGAAAUGAGAAGGUUUAUAACAUAAACAUUGGCAACGUGGCUGGACUUAAACUGACGGUAGAUGACAUAAAGAGCGAGAGAAACGGCAGGGAGCCCGAUUACAAGUGUUACCAGAUUCACUGUGCUGUAUACAAUGUAUACAACGACAUCGCCGUCAUCCAUUGUUUCUUGUAAGUAUCACUGCGGCGCUGUGAUCUCAGCUCAUCACAGGUAUCAUUUCUAACACGUCUUUGUUUCUCACAGUAAGUGUCACUGCGGCGCUGUGAUCUCAGCUCAUCACAGGUAUCAUUUCUAACACGUCUUUGUUUCUCACAGUAAGUAUCACUGCGGCACUGUGAUCUCAGCUCAUCACAGGUAUCAUUUCUAACACGUCUUUGUUCACUGUAUCACUGUGUUGCUGCCGUCUCCAAAACUCACCAUGUGCAGCUUCUUCCUUCCAUCAGUUCAUCUUCUCUUCUUCAAGGUCUGAUCCUCCUAUGCAUUCAUUCAGAGAGACACAGAUUCUCUUCAGAAAUGAGUUCCAGACCUACCUGGUCCACAUGAGUCUGUCUUCCCUCUUCUGUUUCAUUACGGCACAUCCUACACACAGAUCUCUCAUUUCUUUACGGAAAAUCUUAGCUAUCAUACAUGGGUAUAUAAGAAAUGAAUAUACUGGAUACUAUACAAUGAAAAUGAUUUUUUCAAGGACACGAGUAUAAAAUUCAGAAGUAACAUAUAGGCAUCAUGAUACGUCAUGUUUGAUUUAUAUAAAGCAAUUUAGAUGAACAGAUCAUUCAUGAAUCCAUCAUACAUGAAACAUGUUCCCUUACAACCAACUCCCUUAAAAUGGAUGUUGACAUUCCACAUUGUUGCUCCAUUCAGUUGGCUUGAACAUAAUUAAAUUCAUGUUUAUGCGUUUGUUUCCCACCUGUAAUCAAACGUAGCUUCUUCGUAAAUGGCCUGCAUAUCCACAAACACUUCACAUUUAUUGUAUCAAUGCUAAAGAGGACCCACGUUGUAUCUCCUAAAUUCACAAACUGAUAUAUCAGAUUUACAUCAGACCGAUACACUUUCACAACUUUGUUGUGAAAAUUGUUUUCACUUCCCUCUCAGUGUUGUAAGCAAACAUUUAUCUUUUACAUAAUUCUUUGGUAUUAAGGGUCUGCUAGGUCCAUCCAUCCAGCAUCCAGCGCUUCUCCAGUGUAGCACUGGGCCAAGACCGAAGACACCCUGCGGGACUUGGUGCCGUUCCAGCACAGGACGCCCACAUAGACACACAGCAGGAAAGUUAGCGAUUCCGAUAUUAGCUGCGUGUUAGGUUGUCUGAUUUUGAAAAGUGUAAGAGUUUUAAGUGACUGGAUCUUACUGAUUUCAGACUUUAACGUUCAGUAUUGCUGUUUUGACGUUGCUCAAUCGUACUUUUCUAAAAGAUUCCCUGGAAUUCCACAGUGAAAUCAUAUAAAAUUAAUAUAUCACUGUAGUGUACAUAUGGAUACAGUUUUGCUUGGUUGACUAGUGAAUGUCCACAGAUUAAAAUGGGUUUGUAAUUUAAAUGAAGCACCAGUUACUAGUAUAGCUUUGUAUACAAGCACAAAUACAACCACGGAGGCUCUUGUUUUCUGCCAAAUAAAUUCAUUUAUUGGUCAAACGGGACUAGAAAUAGGUAGCAGCAGAUAUCUUGCUAGUCGCACUACUGGCUGAAAUGUUUUACAUUUCAGGGUAAAUGAGGAAUAAAAGCAUAAUGCCUCAGGAAGUGAGUGCAGUGCAGGCCGAAAUGGGUUACAAACGGCACUUUUCAGCGUUUGCGGAUCUAUAUGGAAAUAUCAGUUCUUUCAAUCUGAAUGUUUCAUUUUGAGAAUUGAUUCUAAUGUUAAAAUACAGUUUUUUAACCUGCUAGUCUCUGCCGACUGUGUGUCUUUGCUCCCCCAUGUCAGCCUGCAUGCCACUUUACCCCACACCCCCAGGACCAGCUUGCUGGCUUUCUGAUCCCUGCAGGUACCUCUGACCACAACUAGUCUCGAUUUUCUACACUCCAGUUCAAACUGUAGUAGGACUUUAGUACCUGUCUGCUGUGCAUGUGGAUCCCCAGUUCCUGAGGUGGUCACAUGACAAAAUUCCUCGGGUCUCCUGAAUCCAGCAGAGCUUCAUGACACCCUGGAGCUCCCCCGGAGGAUCUGACGGCCACCUGUACAGCAGCCCCAGUCCCGACUCCUCAGAUCAUCGCACCCCCUCCCCCACCACCACAGCUGCCUUACUUCCUGGUUCAUCCUGCACUUCCUACCUCUGGAGUGGUAUGAGUUUGCCCAAUCACUGUCGUGGUUUCCUCAUGCAGCGCGAUCUCUGUUUCCGACAAAACAAAACCCUGCUGACCCCAGGGCAAGACCAGUUCAGUUUUGUUAUUUCGCUUCUCACUGGGAGAGCCCCAGAGUAACCCACUGCCCUUUCCCGUCAACGCUACCUGCUUCUCUGCCCCACCGCUCCUACCAUCAUCAACCAACUUAAGAAGGAAUUCAACUAACCCUCGCCUGGACCAGACGUGCCCACCAAGCUGCUCAAACUGCACCAGCGAUCUGGUCCAGCCUCCAAUUUCACCAUAGAGUUUCUAAAUCUCACUGCUACCAGUAGGUGGAGUGAACCAGCCUUCCUCACUUCAUACUGAAGGGAGAUUAACCUUCGCUCCACGAGUCAAGCUGGCUGGGCGAGGCAAAGGUCUCAGAUGGGAUCUGUCCAGCUCUCUGUUCAUCUCAAAAAUCUGCUCUGGGAAUACCGCCACCUGGAACCUGCCCUGUCUAAUCUCCCUUUAUCCCCAGGGUCUCCUCCUUCACUCCGUCUCACUCUUACUGAAAGACUCACAGCCAUGCAUCUGGCCAGCGGUCCGCUCAUCCGAGCAGAGCAGCGGCAGCAAGUGACAAACCAGCUGUGCCUGUGCUGUGGACAGCCUGGGCACCGCGCCCUUCUCCUCCUUCAUGGCUGGGCCCCCAGGCACUCAGUGCCCCCGCAUCACCAAGGUUGGCUCGUUAUUCUCCACAUAACCCCCAGCAGCUCGCUUUCUCACCCAUCGUCCGUUUUCACUCCAGUUCGCAUACCUCAUCGGCUCCGGUGUAGCUCGCAACUUUACCGAUACCGCCUCCGGACAAAGGUCCAUUAGGAUCCCCCCACCCCCAAAAAUAAAAGCACUGCAAUCCAGAGAGGAGGGAUUUAUCUAGCGAGUGCACCCAGCAAUCGUUACACAACGUCUUAAAAGCGGAUCUCACUGAGAAGAUCCGUAACAGCGCCACAAGUUUGUGGCGAUCACGUUGUCAAUGGUAAGAAUAGCACUGAAAUUACUGUUGUUUCUGUGUGUUCAUUUCCAUAGAUAAUGGUACUGCCUUCAUUAGCUGGUGAAUAUUGGCUAAGUUUUGUUUGAUUCUACGUCUCAUGGUCCCUAUUCUGUUUAUGUGAAUAAGCCAUACUCGUAAUAGCCGAAGUCGUACUAGCCGAAGUCGUACUAGGCGGGAUUGGUGAGCAGGAAAAAUUAUUGAUGUUGCGGACAGGAAACGGGAGCCCAACGAACACAAUUUGGACUUACAGUCGUCGUCGUUCGUAUGUCUGCGAGGACAUAUAUCAUAAUAACAAGGACAUCUCACACAGUACUGUAACUUCAACAUUACUGCACAGAGCAACAUGGUUGCUUAACUAUACCAUUACACAACAAAAAUAGGAUAAUGGUAAACAGUAUAUAACAAUGCAUGAUGAAUAAUAAAGAUUUUUUUGUACUUACCCUUGAAUACAACGAAAUGCUUUGUCCACACUUUCCCUCAGCAGUUUUUGUAUCCAGUCAGAAAAAAAUAAAUACCUCCAGACUUUUA